UCUUUCUGGAAAUCUCUCCUUUGUAGUACUUUUUCAUUGCAAGCCUAAAUCUUCACAUACAGGUUUGCAGAAUCCUCAGCGGGCAGCAGACAGCUUCUUUUGGAGAAGAAAAGGGACAGAUCUCCAGUGUCCAUGCUGCUUCUCCUAGGAGCUUUCUAGAGUCACAGUGGCACAGCUGGAGUCACCAGUCAUUUCCAGAUGGAGCUAUGAGGAUUGUUGUGAAUAGAUCCAGCUGGAAAAGGUCUGCAGUUGAGGAAGUGCGUGCUGAUGACUGGAAUAUGCAUUGUCCCAUGAGUUUGUUCCCUUUGCUGUGUGCUUCAUCCCUUGUUAACUAGCAUGUGAGAGAUUAUGGCACCAAGCAGAAAUUACGUGGGCCGGAGUUGAAUUAAUUCUCUUCCCUACAUUCCCGUGAACAAAUGAAGAUUUCAAAAGCAACAUGAAAGUAUGUUUUCAGAUUUUCAGAAGUUCAAAAUCCCCCAUGUUGUAAAUAGUAAAAUAAGUAGUGAAGAAGAUAUGAAAGGGGAUAUGUUUCUGGGUAGAGACAAGCACAUUUAUUAAAAAGAAAAUGUUAGGGAUCUGCAGGCAGGGAAGUGCCUUGAUUUACCUUACCUACAGCAGUUACAGCUUGGUUAUUUUCAAAGGUGGUUUUGUUGUUUUUUUUGAUUUUGUAUAGACUUAGACAUGCUGAUUGAUCUCGCUGUUGCAUCUCAAUGGUGGCUGCAUAUUUGUUGUGAGCACAGGCAAUUAAGGUUUCCCCACUCAGCUGAAACUGGAGGAUCCCUAUCCUUUGUUUAGGGGUAAGGGUUGCCUCUGUUAUCUUCAGGUGUGUUCCUGCCAUGAUGAAGCAUUGCUUGUGGAGACUUUUAGAAAUGUUAAAUGAACUUAGAGAUAUUCCAGUUUGUCUUCACUUUGACCAUGAUUCAUAGCUAGUUACAAAGGCAGCUAGUCAAUGUAGUAACACUGGGAUGGACUCAGCAUUCUGUAUUUUCAUACGGUUCUCUCUGUUAUGAAGUUUUCUGCCAAAUAUCAGUUUACUCUAACAAUUUAUAGCUUUCCAUUUAGGGACUAAUUCAUCCUUGGCUUAGAAAGAAACCCAAAGCAAUAGCCAAGCAGGAAGAGAAUCAGGAAAAGUGUCCCACACUGGUGGGGGAAAUCGUAGUGCAGGAGUUGAAAAAUGUCAGUUACUGCAUCUCAGUGCAUUAAGCAGACCUCAUAGGCAAAAACUUUUAUUUAAUUUUUCUCUCCCUCUUGGAUAGUUAUAUUUCAGUAAAAGCAUGUUUAAUCUUGGCCAAUUAAACUUCCUAGUACUCAGCACUUAACAGGUCUUUUCUUCCUUUUUUUC